rfam:Clostridium sp. 7_2_43FAA genomic scaffold supercont2.4, whole genome shotgun sequence.
AGGACGUGAUAAGCUGCGAUAAGCUUCGGGUAGGCGCACAUAGCCAGUGAUCCGAAGAUUUCCGAAUGAGGGAACUCACAUGGGAAACCCCAUGUAUCCUGUAGUGAAUAAAUAGCUGCAGGAAGGUAAACCUAGGGAACUGAAACAUCUAAGUACCUAGAGGAAGAGAAAGAAAAAUCGAUUUUCUUAGUAGCGGCGAGCGAAAGGGAAAGAGCCCAAACCAGAGAUUUAUCUCUGGGGUUGCGGACAGAACAUUAAAUAAACUAAUUUGUAACCGAAGACAACUGGAAAGUUGUGCCGUAGAGUGUAAUAGCCACGUAGGUGAAACGAAGAGGUUUAGAGUUNNNNNNNNNNNNNNN